rnacentral:tRNA from 1 species
GCCCGGGUGGUCUAGUGGUAUGAUUCGCGCUUAGGGUUCACCCAAAGCAUAAUUGCGCGAGGUCCCCGGUUCAAUCCCGGGCUCGGGCC